UGUGACUGGACAGUCGGCAUCAAAUCACCUCCCUUCCCGGGGCCGGCUACCGCGAGCGCCUCGCCCUCCCCUCCAUGUCCCCACUUUCCCCCCGAGCUUACACUAAUGACAGCUGAUAGUUUCCCCCCCUUCUGUCGCCAGUGUUAGCCACCCCUACCCAACCGAUAGUUUUCGCCGGCCCGCACUGAGCUGGAGUAUCCUGCCGCGGCAUUACAUGCCCUUAGGUCACGUCAUAUGCGGGCUGCAGCGGAGGUCCUUUCCCCCCUCCCAGGGCAGGCCACCGGUCACACAGUGGUCAGGGGAAUGCAGCCUAUUACAAGCAUUGGCCUAACAGCUGGUGCGGAGGUACGGCACCCACCCCCUCCCCCCACGCAAACCAAAUGCCCCCCGUCCCCCCGCAAACCGAUUGCCCCCCCGCAGACUGCUUCCAGGCCGCAUCCACUCUUGUGCAGGGAGGAGAUGGGCGUGAGCUGCCGAGGAGCAGGACACAUGACUUUCACUCUGGCUGAAUGUCCUGUGUGAGCUUUAAAGAGAAAAAAGUCAUCUUGGCAUACAGUACUAAGAAUACAAAAGAAAUCGGAAAACAGAUUGAAAGAAGGCAAAACGGAAAAUACUUAUCGAAAAUCUUCAGAAGGUCAAGUCAAUAAAGUAUCUGUGAGGCUCCUGAAUCCCAAUUACAUUUAUGAUGAAGUACAUUUUCAAUUGUGAAAUUGUGAGCAAAAUAACAAAAAGCUUUAUCCAUCAAGUUUAUAAACAAGAGGCUGGUGAAAAGAAAUGAAGUCUUGGAACCCUGCAGAGACCACUGCCCCCACAACAUGACCAACCACGACAUUUUGCAACACCAACCAGUUAUGCCUUAAUAUUUAAAAUGUAUGUAUUUAUUAUUUCGCCACCUUUACAUAAUGGUUGCAAAAGAGAAGUGCUAAAACUAUUUAAAAAUUAAAAACUCAGAAAUACAAGACAGUAGUUCAGCGAAACAAUGUCAUAUAGAAUAAUUAUAUGGAUGUUUAAUCUGGGUCAUGGGUUUCUGGGAAUUAUAUGCAAUUAUAGCCUUAGAAUGUAACAUCCCUAUGUUUACAUGAUUGUUUUACAUAAAUAGGAUGACUAUUAACAAAUAAAUAUUAAUAUAUGAAAGAU